rnacentral:rRNA from 1 species
AACGUAGGACGCAAGCGUUAUCCGGAGUUACUGGGCGUAAAGGGCAGGCAGGCGGGUCGAUAAGUCGGAUGUGAAAUCUCCCUGGCUUAACCGGGAGAGUGCAUUUGAGACGGUCAACCUGGAGGGCAGAAGAGGAGAGUGGAAUUCCUGGUGUAGCGGUGAAAUGCGCAGAUAUCAGGAAGAACACCUAUGGCGAAGGCAGCUCUCUGGGACGGUACUGACGCUGAGACGCGAAAGCGUGGGGAGCGAACAGG